GUGAACAAUCGCCGUGCCAACAGAUACCACGGUAGAAGAAGCCGCUGUUCCUUAACAGUACUGUGGUUUACGAGCCUGAUAAAUGUACGAAGUCCGGUAAGAAGAUGGCGAACGGUAAAAAUCCAUUGAGAGACUGUUUCCCGGGCGAAGACCACUGCCGCCGCCAGUUUAGAUCCUGCUGAUUCACUGUAUCCUGCAAAAUGAGAUUGUCUUGCGGGGAUACCAAACAGUCCAACGGGAAUUAUGUCCUGCAGAACCGCCAUAAUCUCCAGAAUCUAGUCCUGAAAGAUAGAGCAUCGGUUGGUGACUAAAGAAGUUCCCUAGUCUGGAUCAGGAGGACCCAAAGGGCCCAAACAUUGAAGAGGAACAGGAGGAGCUCUGGACCAGUCAGGAGGGAGAGCAGCUUAAAAGUUUGGAGGAGGCUGAUGAUACCAAGGUCCUACUCACUCCUGUCCAUGAGAAGAUUGAAGAUGAUGAGAAACCUCAGUCCUCACAGCCUUAUCGAAGUAGCUCAGCUGUCCAGAUGGAAACUGAAGCUGAUGGGGAGGACUGUAGAGGAUCUGAACCAGCCAGGUACUUAGAUCCACAUGGUAACUUUCAACCAAAUACAAAAGACAAAGCCUCAGAUUCUUCUGAGACUGAAGUCAGUGACGAUGAUUGGAAGGAGACUGGCGCACCUGACUCAGUCUGCGUGCUGCUCUCAACCUGAGACUUGCAUCGUACCCGUGGACCUAAAGGUCCAACUUGCAUCACCUGGACGGGCCGUCGCGUGUGGAUUGCGCACCGUGCUUGGACCCUGUUGAUCUAGUUGAUCAGGUCUAGUUAUAACUUGAACUGGCAUUUAUGGUAAAUUGGCAGUUAAAUAGUUUCUAU